GCAAGUAUGGCCGAGUGGUCUAAGGCGCUACAAUCAGGAUGUAGUCAGAAAUGGCGCGGGUUCGAAUCCCGUUACUUGCA
rnacentral:tRNA from 1 species